ACACAUGAACGACAAAUAUCAACAUAGGCUGUUUUGUUCACUGACGCUUAACGAAGACAACUGGCAUGGGGAAGCAAAUGAUACUAAGAUUUACUGAAUCACUCGACAAGCAAUGGAUCCAAGGUUUUAACCCAUUAAUCUUGCUCGGAACAUUCGUGAGCGUCACAAGCUACCCUUCAAAACUCCUCUAAAGAGCCUACACAAGGAAAAAGUAACCCAUGCUUAUCCUUGUUGAACUGAUCAGGGAAAUUAUUGUAGUUCAUCCAGAUGCAGAAUUCUUGGAUGACAAAGAUAAGAGGUUGUUAAUGAAAUCAGCAAAACAUGUCUCUACACUUAUUUUCUUUCUCUUGAAAACUAAGAGAGGUCUGUAGUAUAUCUUCUCGAUAUUAUGCAUAUAUAUAAAAAUUAUAUCUACAA